AUUGAACGCUGGCGGCAUGCUUUACACAUGCAAGUCGAACGGUAACAGGGUGCUUGCACCGCUGACGAGUGGCGAACGGGUGAGUAAUGCGUCGGAACGUGCCGAGUAGUGGGGGAUAACGCAGCGAAAGUUGUGCUAAUACCGCAUACGUACUGAGGUAGAAAGUGGGGGACCUUCGGGCCUCACGCUAUUCGAGCGGCCGACGUCUGAUUAGCUAGUAGGUGAGGUAAAGGCUCACCUAGGCGACGAUCAGUAGCGGGUCUGAGAGGAUGAUCCGCCACACUGGGACUGAGACACGGCCCAGACUCCUACGGAGGCAGCAGUGGGGAAUUUUGGACAAUGGGCGAAAGCCUGAUCCAGCCAUGCCGCGUGUCUGAAGAAGGCCUCGGUUGUAAGGAC
rnacentral:rRNA from 1 species